CGCCGUGCGCACGCCAGCGCGUUCCUCUGUGGCAGGAGAGGGGGGCCUGCGUGUGACCGAGCGUGCGUGGGAGGACGCGCGUGUGUGUCUGUGCGCCCUGAUCACGGUGGUCUGUGGGUGGGGCGGAUCGUGCGCGCGCGCCCGAUCUGUGCGCCCCAAGCCAGCAGCCUUGCCUUACUGGUACCAGUACCUGCCUGCUGCUACCAACUAGUCAACAUGUGGCAUCUUCCAGGCCACUGUGAUGAGUCAGGGAUGAGCAUCUGACUCUGGUUGGUCCAAUCAGCUUGUCCAGGGACUUUGGCUGGGAAGAUUGGAAAGGAGGCCAGCUUUUUGGGCUGGGGUUGCUGAGAGAUGUGAUGAUGAAAUGUGUGGCCUACCUGGCAUCUGGCCCCAGCUUCAGCUCCAUUUACUGUCUUGCUCCCCACCCUCACUAGCCUGCAUUGAGGCCUCCUCUGUGCCCCCCAACCCCUGAGUUUCUCAUCCCCAGAGAGCCCAGCUACACAGAAUUGAAGGGUUUUCUCAUUCAUCUUCCUGCGCUCACCCUGAAGACUGGGCCUAUGUCAUCUGCUAACCACUGUCCCCCCAGCACUCACAGUGGAAAAUGGAGUGUUAUGCAGCCCUGCAGCUUGCCUUCUAGAACAGUUCACAGGCAAGGCCUCCCACACUGAACCCUGCUACAGCCAGAUGGUGCCAGCAACACAGAGCUACUUGUUACAUCAGCUCAGACUAAGCCACACCCACAGGAGCAUCUGGUGAUUCCACAGAACCACAAGAGACUUGACCUCCUGGAAAUGAAUUAACCAAGAUUAAUGAAAAAGAUUAAGGUCAUGUGCCCUGUAAAAAUGUCCCUCACUGGAUGAACUGUGACAAAGUAGGGUACUGCGUGGUCUCCCCAGCUGACCCUCUCCAUGGGUCAUUCUUUGCUUUUAUCACUACCUGGCACAAAUCUUUACGUAUUUGUUUAUCGUCUUCCCUCCACCAGUAGUUAGGUGUUUGCCCUUGCUGUAUCCCCUGUGCCUAGAACAGUGCCCAACAUUGGCAGGUGGCCAAUAAUUGCAAAAUAAGCAAAUGUAUGAAUGAACCAUUAGAUGCUUUGUGUUGUAUACUUACUACCUGCUGGGCACAUUUAUUUAAUCCUCAUGACAGCCCCUGAAGUAGGUGUUACUUUUUCCAUCUUACAGAUAAAGACUCUGAGGUUUGGAGAGGUGAAGUGAUUUGAUCAAUGUCACAUGGUAGUGAGUGAGGCCAAGAAUCAUAGUUUCAUUUUAUUCGAGAAGUUGGGGGCCAGGUACAGUGGCUCAUGCCUGUAAUCCUAACACUUUGGGAGGCCAGGGUGGGAAGAUCUCUUGAGCCUAGGAGUUUGAGACCAGCCUGGACAACAACAUGGUGAGACUCCAUCUCUACAAAAAAAAAAAAAAAAUUAUUUUAAAAUUAGCCAGGCAUGGUGAUGUACACCUGUAGUUCCAGCUACUUGGCUGAGACAGGAGGACUGCUUGAGGCCAGGAAUUCAAGACCAGCCUGGUAAAGAUGGCAAGACCCCAUCUCUACAUAUAUAUAUCUAUAGAUAGAUAGAUAGAUUAAUAGAUAGAUAUGUAUUAGCCAGGCACAGUCACACAUGUUUGUAGUCCCAGCUACUUGGGAGGCUAAGGCAGGAGGAUCACCUGAGCCCAGGAGUUAAGGGCUGCAGUGAGCCGUGAUCACACCACUGCAUUCCAGUUUGGGUGACAGAGUGAGGCUCUCUUAAAAAAUUUAAAAAUACUGAAGAAACAAAGGGAGGAGUUUGUAGA
rnacentral:lncRNA from 1 species